rnacentral:rRNA from 1 species
UACGAAGGGGGCUAGCGUUGUUCGGAAUUACUGGGCGUAAGCGCACGUAGGCGGGCGAUUAAGUCAGGGGUGAAAUCCCGGAGCUCAACUCCGGAACUGCCUUUGAUACUGGUCGUCUAGAGAUCGGAAGAGGUGAGUGGAAUUCCCAGUGUAGAGGUGAAAUUCGUAGAUAUUCGCAAGAACACCAGUGGCGAAGGCGGCUCACUGGCCCGGUACUGACGCUGAGGCACGAAAGCGUGGGGAGCAAACAGG